ensembl:lncRNA
GCUGCAACUGAGGAAGACAUUGAGAAGACACUGAUGCAACUCUGGAAGGAUUACGACAUCCAUGACUGCAUCAAGGACCUUGGGCUUGGGGUCAUGUCACCAAAAAGUGUAUGAAUUGCAUCUGAAAGAAAACACUCAAGAGGUUCUCUCAUGACUUCAAAGGGUUUGCCAAGGAUGAGGAGGUUGCAAAAAUCAACAAGGCUGUGAUUGAGAUGGCAAACAACUUACCCUGAAUGUGGAUGAGGAUGGCAUGCAGGAGCUCCUAAGGUGGUUCCUGAGGAAUUGACUAAUGAGAAGUUGUUGGAACUGGAACAGGAAUGCAUAGCUGAAGAAGAGGCAAGAGAAAAGGAAACUGCAGGAGGAGAAGAAGAAGAACCUCCAAAAAAAUUCAUAGUGAAGGGUUUAGCAGAAGGUUUGGCAGACCUCAGCAAGCUCCUUAAAAAAUUUGAAAACAUGAACCGCGACACCAAAAGGUUUUCAUUAAUAGAGAGGAAUGUUCAUGGUACGUUAUCUACUUACAAGCAAAUCUGUGAUGAAAAAAAGAAACAAACCAAGCAAACCACCAUGGACAUAUUUCUGAAAAAGAGCGACACCCCCACAAGAGCCUCAGGCAGAAUAAAGACUGCCCUUGAAUCUCUUUGGAAAGGACUAUACCAGGUCGUCCUCACCGUCCAGAUGACAGCCAAACUUCAGGGACUCAAGCCUUGGGUACACAUCUCACAGUUCAAGAAGACUCCAGCCAACGUCUGGUGCUGGACGAGUGCUGGAGCCCUCCAAAUCAAACUGACUAGGAAGAGAAGUAGCUGAAAUCGAGGUAGACUGUUUCCUCCCAAGACACCAGAUCAAAACUUUCUACUUUAACUAAACAUGAAUCCCUCUCUUCGGCUCUUUCUUUCCUUUACAUUGGUACUGGCCUGGAAAGAUAAAGCCAUCAUCCAUAUUUUCCAAGCCAUUGCUAAGUGGGGUAAUUGCUGGAAUUUGGAAUAACUUUUUAUUCCAGGCUACGAAAUUUAAAACCUAACUGACCCCUGGCUUCAACGGACAAAAGUAACAAUCCUUGUGAAUGAAUCCAUUAACAGUACCACCUUAGUGAAAGUGCUUUGUGCCUCGACAGGUUUAUCUCUGUCUUUGGCAAUUAUCAUUUUCCUUGGGCCUAUGAAUAUCUAGAUGGCUGGUGCAUAGGAGGAAAUUCCACAGGUCAUCUAACUUUACCCCUAACUUUUCACAAACAAACUGAGACACCUCAUUAGCCAAUGUCCCUGAAUUUACAUCAUUGAGUUAAAGGACCUACCGAGAGGCACUGUGACUCAGAACUCCCCUCCUUUGGCAGGGCCACACUUUCCCAGUUAGGAGUAAAUAUAAUUGAGAAUAUGAUCAGAAACCUCUCCUUAACUCUUGAAAAUAUUGCAGAUUCCAUUGCUAACACAAUAGCUGCCCAAAAAAGAUCCUUAGACUCUCUGGCCAAAGUUGUUCUUGAAAAUAGGAUAACACUUGGUUGUCUUCUAGCUAGCAAGGAGGUGUCUGUGCUGUGGCCAAAACCACCUGCUAUACCUGGAUUAACACUUCUGGGGAAGUUCAAACUCAGCUACAAAAGAUCACUGAGCAAGCCACUUGGCUUAAAAAGCUGACUUCUUCCAUGGGGUCUUUCUUUCACUUAUUUGGUUUUGACUAGUUACAGUCUUUGGGGCCAUGGCUCCUAAAUGCACUCCAAACAUUGAGAAAUAUCCUGCUUAUUAUAAUUAUAUAUUAUACGUAUAAUUGUAUAUUAUAAUCACAAUCUCCCCAGUGCAUUAUAUUCUCCCAAAAGCUUUAAAUCCAUGUUUGCAGGCACUAACCACCAAGCAAAGAACAAAGAGAACGAUCAACUUAGGGAUUGUGAACCUGGAGCCGUGACUUCUGAAUGUCACAAGGAUCAAGCAAAAAUGUCUUGUCCUAUGGAUGCCACACAAAGAAACAACAAAAGCUGCAAGUGGUAGCUCAGACUGGUGCUAAUGCCUUAAAUUUUAAUCACAUCUCUCAGUUGCAAGUCUGAUCAAAAGGAGGAAAUUGUUAAAGAGGAGACAACUGGCCCAAAAUGGAGUCACUUAUGCUAAGCCCCAUGUCACCAAGUCAAGCCUUAAUGCCUAAACUAACUACGGUCUCAACCUCUCCCAGGAAUCUAACUUUUAACCAGUCAACCUGGAAUUACCUGGUCAGCACUAGUGAAGUCAUCUGCCCAAUAGGCCCCUCCCACUCCCCUUAGGAGGGCAACCUUGCAGGAAAAAAAUGGAUUCUUUGCUAACAAUUUCCUUUUUCCACCCCCUUUCUGCCUUUAAAAAUCCCUUCCUUUUCUACAGCUCACUGGAGAUGCUUUCUACUUGCUAGAUGGGAUGCUGUUGGAUUCACAAGUCAAUGAAUAAAGCCAAGUUGAUCUUCAAACUUACUCAGCUGAGUUUUUGUUAUUUAACAAACGAGACUAACAAUAUCUACCCUACAGGGUCAUUAAAUAUAUACAGAGUAUACCUUUAAUGAACCUAAAUUCUAUCCCCCCUUACUUUAAGGAUUCUACUGUUUUCUCUUGGGUCCUUGUCUUAACUCCAUCGCAUUUGGGCCUCAGAAUCCUUUUUCUGUUUCCCUCUUCACUUGAGUUGAGUUCACUUUACC